GGAUGUGAGGGCGAUCUGGCUGAGACGUCUGUUAUCCCAUUGAUCACCAGGGUUGAUUCAGCUGACCUGGCUGGCUAGGCGUGUGUCCCCUUCUUCUCUCACCGUUCCAUAUGCGUCCCUCCUGAAGCUGCGAGCUGGGUGGAAGAAGACGUCCAUCCCCGAUAGAAGAAGUCCAGCCUUCGCUCACAGGUAUAGUAGUUGUGCUCCCCUGCUAGACUCUCCACACAAGCUCUCAAAAGUAGUUUAGAGCCAUGAGCAGUCAGGAGUGAGGACGUGGUUGCCACUUACUUGGUGGCAGGCAUGGACACGUGGUGCUGCCGGCCUG
rnacentral:snRNA from 1 species